UCUCCUGUCCUCCCGUGCGAUGCUGUGUGGAGCGUUGCCAUGGCAACACACGGCAACGCUCCACACAGCAUCGCGCGGGAGGACAGGAGA